CUGCCCUCAAGCACGGCUUGUGUGUUGGGCCCCCGUCCCCUCUCCCGGGGGACGGGCCCGAAAGGCAGCGGCGGCACCGCGUCCGGUCCUCGAGCGUAUGGGGCUUUGUCACCCGCUCUGUAGGCCCGGCCGGCGCCUGCCGACCACCAUCAAUCUUUUUCAGG
rnacentral:misc_RNA from 1 species